rnacentral:misc_RNA from 1 species
GAUGAAGAACGUAGCGAAAUGCGAUACUUGGUGUGAAUUGCAGAAUCCCGUGAACCAUCGAGUCUUUGAACGCAAGUUGCGCCCGAAGCCGUCAGGCCGAGGGCACGCCUGCCUGGGCGUCACACGCCGUUGCCCCCCCGCGCCCCGCACCCAACUCUUUGGGAGCGACCGCGGGGCGGGCUGAUGAUGGCCUCCCGUGCGCUCCGCCGCGCGGUUGGCCCAAAUACCGAGUCCCCGGCGACGUGCGCCACGACGAUCGGUGGUUGAGAGACCUCUGUCGCAAGUCGUGCGCGCCCGUCGCGUCACGCGGGCUCGCAUAGCGCCUCGCGCCGCACCCGGUGCGGAGCUUUCAACGCGACCCCAGGUCAGGGGGGGUUACCCGCUGAAUUUAAGCAUAUCAAUAAGCGGAGGA